rnacentral:rRNA from 1 species
UUCCCCCUAGUAAUGGCGAAUGAACAGGGAAAAGCCCAACUUUAAAAUCACUUCACGGUGAAUUGUAGUUUAUAAGAGUCUAGAACUGUGCUGCCUUACCUUAAUUUUCUUGAAAAAGGGAUACAAAGAGGGUGAUAUACCCGUUUUGUGGUGAGUAGUAGUAUGGAACUGUUCUCUAAAGAGUCAUGUUGCUUGGGAAUGCAGCAUAAAGUGGGAGGUAAAUUCCUUCUAAGGCUAAAUACUGGUAGGAGUCCGAUAGUAAACAAGUACCUUAAGGGAAAGAUGAAAGAGAACCUUGAAAAGGGUCUCAAAAGAAAGUGAAAUUGUUAUAAGGAAACCGCUUAAAACUUCUGGAAUCUAUAUAUUAAUUAUGGGAGAGCAAUCUUUUUGUCAUUAGUAUAUGGGUGGCUAUUGCUCGGGUUUGAGCUUAUGAAAAUUGUUUGGGAAGGUAAGUUGGGUUUCGGCCUAGCUUCUUACAGACUGAGUAAUUUUCUAAAGUUUGGGCCAGUGUAGAAAGUCAUAAGGUAGCUAGCUCUUAAAAUACGUUUUGCAAUAGACUUGUGCUAGAGUGAAAUUUAUUUUAAGGUCUAGUACUGCUGCUAUGCUUUAAUAGUUAAGAAGGCUUAAGCGACCCGUCUUGAAACACGGACCAAGGAGUCUAACAUUUAUGCAAGUAUUAUGGUGUAAAAACCAGAGUGCGGAAUGAAAGUAAUUUCAAGGUAGGAUCCCGCAAGGGUGCACUAUCGACCGAGCUAAAGGGAUUUUUUCUUUUGGUUUGAGUAAGAGCAUAUAUGUUGGUACCCGAAAGAUGGUGAACUAUGCCUGAAUAGGGUGAAGCCAGGGGAAACCCUGGUGGAAGCUCGUAGCGAUUCUGACGUGCAAAUCGAUCGUCGAAUUUGGGUAUAG